rnacentral:rRNA from 1 species
UACGUAGGGGGCUAGCGUUGUCCGGAAUCAUUGGGCGUAAAGAGCUCGUAGGCGGCUUGUCACGUCGGGUGUGAAAGCCCGGGGCUUAACCCCGGGUCUGCAUUCGAUACGGGCUAGCUAGAGUGUGGUAGGGGAGAUCGGAAUUCCUGAUGUAGCGGUGAAAUGCGCAGAUAUCAGGAGGAACACCGGUGGCGAAGGCGGGUCUCUGGGCCGAUACUGACACUGAGGAGCGAAAGCGUGGGGAGCGAACAGG